CCUACGGGAGGCAGCAGUGGGGAAUUUUGGACAAUGGGCGCAAGCCUGAUCCAGCCAUGCCGCGUGAGUGAAGAAGGCCUUCGGGUUGUAAAGCUCUUUCGGCGGGGAAGAAAAGGUACGUGCUAAUACCACGGACUAAUGACGGUACCCGAAGAAGAAGCACCGGCUAACUACGUGCCAGCAGCCGCGGUAAUACGUAGGGUGCAGGCGUUAAUCGGAAUUACUGGGCGUAAAGCGUGCGCAGGCGGUUUGUUAAGACAGAUGUGAAAUCCCCGGGCUUAACCUGGGAACUGCGUUUGUUACUGGCAAGCUAGAGUGUGGCAGAGGGGGGUAGAAUUCCAGGUGUAGCAGUGAAAUGCGUAGAUAUCUGGAGGAAUACCGAUGGCGAAGGCAGCCCCCUGGGCUAACACUGACGCUCAUGCACGAAAGCGUGGGGAGCAAACAGGAUUAGAUACCCUGGUAGUCCACGCCCUAAACUAUNUCACUGUGUCGGGAGCAUCUUGUACGAGACUACGCGUGAGUGCGCCGNGGNGACGCGCGAGUAAACGUACGAAGUAAGUAGAGNGUGAGAGNGCGAGGCGACGACGAGGAGGAGG
rnacentral:rRNA from 1 species